AGGGUUUGAUUCUGGCUCAGGACGAACGCUGGCGGCGUGCCUAACACAUGCAAGUCGAACGAAGCUUGAUAAUAGAUUUCUUCGGAAUGAAAUUUGAUAUGACUGAGUGGCGGACGGGUGAGUAACGCGUGAGCAACCUGCCCUUCGGAAGGGGAUAGCGUCUGGAAACGGACGGUAAUACCGUAUAAUGUAUUGAGAUGGCAUCAUCAUAAUACCAAAGCUGAGGCGCCGAAGGAUGGGCUCGCGUCUGAUUAGAUAGUUGGUGGGGUAACGGCCUACCAAGUCGACGAUCAGUAGCCGGACUGAGAGGUUGAACGGCCACAUUGGGACUGAGACACGGCCCAG
rnacentral:rRNA from 1 species